AGUUAUACCCGGGUAUAAAACGCGUCAUUUGACGUCAUUUUAAUCCAUGGACUAAAGUUAGUACCUAGGUACUAACUUUUGCGAUUCACAAAGGUGGACUAAAGUUAUACCGGGGUAUAAAACGCGUCAUUUGACGUCACGAUUUAGUCAGCUCUUUGGGGUGGACUAAAUCGGUGGAUUAAAGUUAGUCCACGGUUUUAACCAAUCAGAGAGCAGCAUUGCGGUUGCAGAAAAGUUUGCUGCAAAAAAAAGUUUUUUGGACGGAGACGAGAUUCGGUGUGAUCGGCUUAUCUAAAGCUUAAAAUUUCACGACUUCGACCGAGAUUAAACAGACCAUACUCGGCAGAUUGUGAGAUUGUGAUCAAUCAAGACGACAAACAUGGCUCACAUUUUUGAACUGCUGUGCCUUCUUGCAACAGAGUGAGAUUCAGCAACACAUAGGAAGACCACAGCAUGGAUUAAGAGACAGGAAGAAUCCAUUUGAAUGCUACAAGGAUGAACCUUUCAGAGUGGGCUACCAACAGAGAGAAACGACACAUUGCCUGACAUGUUACAUGUUUUGACAGGACUUUGUUUUUAUGCCAUUGGUACCUUUUAGAAGAUGCAAGCAGACAAAGCAACUAUAUCAUAGUCAUCCGUGUGCAGAAUCAUCAAAGAUUUUUCUGAGGCAAUGGCAAGGAGUAACAGUUAAUGAAGUGUCCGAUGACGAGAAAUUCAAACAACCCAGCGACAAUUUGAUGAUUGCUACAGGUUUCCAAGAGUCGUAGGUGCUAUCGAUUGGGGCCAUGUCUACAUCAGGAGUCCUGAUGGGGAACAAGCCCUGUACUUAGCAGGAAGAACAGGUCUUCUGUAAAUGUAUAGGUAUCCGUUGCUCCUCUCUUUGAUGAAUUCCUGCCUGCAUUCUGUUGUCAAUAGAAAAGGACCAUGUGCUUCGGGUAUUAAGCAUUCCAUUGGAUUAUCUGUGUAUGAAAGUGGACACUUGUGAUCACAAAAUGGUAGCUUAGUUGAUAGGAUGUAUUCAUGCAUUCCGAUUUAUCAUUAGUGAUCAAAUGACCAUCUUGCUUUUAAAAACCCAAAUUCACAACAUUUUUCUUGUUUGACAAAAGGUUUGGGAUGUGAAUUCCAGGAAAUAAAUGACACACACGAUGGGCUAAUGUAUAAGCAGGGAUGUGAGAGGUAUAAGCAACAUUUUGCUCAUGCUUAACUAAGUUUGGCAUGAGAUGGUCUUGGUCAUUCUUAUGAUUCAAGUCUAUUUUUAUACCAUUU
rnacentral:lncRNA from 1 species